UACGGUAGGGGCAAGCGUUAUCCGGAAUCAUUGGGCGUAAAGAGCUUGUAGGCGGUUUGUCGCGUCUGCCGUGAAAGCCCAGGGCUUAACCCUGGGUCUGCGGUGGGUACGGGCAGACUAGAGUGUGGUAGGGGAGACUGGAAUUCCUGGUGUAGCGGUGAAAUGCGCAGAUAUCAGGAGGAACACCGAUGGCGAAGGCAGGUCUCUGGGCCGAUACUGACGCUGAGGAGCGAAAGCGUGGGGGAGCAAACAGG
rnacentral:rRNA from 1 species